rnacentral:rRNA from 1 species
GGAGAGUUUGAUCCUGGCUCAGGAUGAACGCUAGCGGCAGGCUUAACACAUGCAAGUCGAGGGGCAGCAUAAUGGAUAGCAAUAUCUAUGGUGGCGACCGGCGCACGGGUGCGUAACGCGUAUGCAACCUACCUUUAACAGGGGGAUAACACUGAGAAAUUGGUACUAAUACCCCAUAACAUCAUGAAAGGCAUCUUUUAUGGUUGAAAAUUCCGAUGGUUAGAGAUGGGCAUGCGUUGUAUUAGCUAGUUGGUGAGGUAACGGCUCACCAAGGCGACGAUACAUAGGGGGACUGAGAGGUUAACCCCCCACACUGGUACUGAGACACGGACCAGACUCCUACGGGAGGCAGCAGUGAGGAAUAUUGGUCAAUGGACGCAAGUCUGAACCAGCCAUGCCGCGUGCAGGAUGACGGCUCUAUGAGUUGUAAACUGCUUUUGUACUAGGGUAAACUCACCUACGUGUAGGUGACUGAAAGUAUAGUACGAAUAAGGAUCGGCUAACUCCGUGCCAGCAGCCGCGGUAAUACGGAGGAUUCAAGCGUUAUCCGGAUUUAUUGGGUUUAAAGGGUGCGUAGGCGGUUUGAUAAGUUAGAGGUGAAAUGUUAGGGCUCAACCCUGAAACUGCCUCUAAUACUGUUGGACUAGAGAGUAGUUGCGGUAGGCGGAAUGUAUGGUGUAGCGGUGAAAUGCUUAGAGAUCAUACAGAACACCGAUUGCGAAGGCAGCUUACCAAACUAUAUCUGACGUUGAGGCACGAAAGCGUGGGGAGCAAACAGGAUUAGAUACCCUGGUAGUCCACGCAGUAAACGAUGAUAACUCGUUGUCGGCGAUACACAGUCGGUGACUAAGCGAAAGCGAUAAGUUAUCCACCUGGGGAGUACGUUCGCAAGAAUGAAACUCAAAGGAAUUGACGGGGGCCCGCACAAGCGGAGGAACAUGUGGUUUAAUUCGAUGAUACGCGAGGAACCUUACCCGGGCUUGAAUUGCAGAGGAAGGAUUUGGAGACAAUGACGCCCUUCGGGGCCUCUGUGAAGGUGCUGCAUGGUUGUCGUCAGCUCGUGCCGUGAGGUGUCGGCUUAAGUGCCAUAACGAGCGCAACCCCUCUCCUUAGUUGCCAUCAGGUUAAGCUGGGCACUCUGGGGACACUGCCACCGUAAGGUGUGAGGAAGGUGGGGAUGACG